AGCCACAGCUACAUGACUCUGCAGCCCAAGACAGGUCACUCACUGAAGCUAAGCAGGGCUGAGCCUGGUUAUUACCUGGAUAAGAGACCGCAUGGGGAAAACUAGGUUGCUGUUGGAA
rnacentral:rRNA from 1 species